UGGGUUGUGGCUCAAUGGUAGAGUGUUCGCCUAGCAUGUGCAAGGCCCUGGGUUCAAUCCUCAGCACCAUAU
rnacentral:tRNA from 1 species